AGGGUUUGAUCCUGGCUCAGGAUGAACGCUGGCGGCGUGUCUAAUACAUGCAAGUCGAGCGAACGGACGAGAAGCUUGCUUCUCUGAUGUUAGCGGCGGACGGGUGAGUAACACGUGGAUAACCUACCUAUAAGACUGGGAUAACUUCGGGAAACCGGAGCUAAUACCGGAUAAUAUUUUGAACCGCAUGGUUCAAAAGUGAAAGACGGUCUUGCUGUCACUUAUAGAUGGAUCCGCGCUGCAUUAGCUAGUUGGUAAGGUAACGGCUUACCAAGGCAACGAUGCAUAGCCGACCUGAGAGGGUGAUCGGCCACACUGGAACUGAGACACGGUCCAGACUCCUACGGGAGGCAGCAGUAGGGAAUCUUCCGCAAUGGGCGAAAGCCUGACGGAGCAACGCCGCGUGAGUGAUGAAGGUCUUCGGAUCGUAAAACUCUGUUAUUAGGGAAGAACAUAUGUGUAAGUAACUGUGCACAUCUUGACGGUACCUAAUCAGAAAGCCACGGCUAACUACGUGCCAGCAGCCGCGGUAAUACGUAGGUGGCAAGCGUUAUCCGGAAUUAUUGGGCGUAAAGCGCGCGUAGGCGGUUUUUUAAGUCUGAUGUGAAAGCCCACGGCUCAACCGUGGAGGGUCAUUGGAAACUGGAAAACUUGAGUGCAGAAGAGGAAAGUGGAAUUCCAUGUGUAGCGGUGAAAUGCGCAGAGAUAUGGAGGAACACCAGUGGCGAAGGCGACUUUCUGGUCUGUAACUGACGCUGAUGUGCGAAAGCGUGGGGAUCAAACAGGAUUAGAUACCCUGGUAGUCCACGCCGUAAACGAUGAGUGCUAAGUGUUAGGGGGUUUCCGCCCCUUAGUGCUGCAGCUAACGC
rnacentral:rRNA from 1 species